CUGUGUGUUAAUGCACUUACUGUGACCAUCUGCCACUCUGCCUCCCACUCACUUAACCGUCUUAUCCACUGCUCUCCUUCACCAACGCUGUCAGUUGUUUUGCUCCUCGGGUCUGUUGGUUUUCUGCUGAACUGCUGGGCAUAAUCUGGAUGAAAACGAACUAGAUCUGAGCUGGGAGCUGUGCAUGGAGACUGGACUGCAGACGAAACAUUGGAGGAUUAUAGAGGGAGUUUUUAGCACGCCAACUUUCACUAUUUUUUUAGAACAUAUUUUUGAAGAACUUUUAAAGUAGAAACAUGGGCUGCUCUCCUUCAAAGGGCAAGUUGUUUUCAAAAACAGACAAGCAGGGACCCCAGGAAGAUCUGCCAAUUGAUGCGCCACAGGAUCUGUUGGAAUCUAGGCCUGCAGAGGAACAGGAACCUUGUUUGAUAAAGACUGAAGAGACAGAAAAGGAACUUCCCGUUCUUGAUGAAGAUGCUCACUCCCGAGAGAUGACCACUAACACAGCUGUGGAAAACACAGGGGAUGUUAGUGACGCACAGGUGGAUCUAAAGCCUCAGGAAACCCCAGCUGAGGUCAUACAGGCCGAUAACAUCAGGAACAUCGAGAAACAAAAGAAGAAAAAAAGCAAACGAUUUUCUGAGAAGCAAAGGAAGUCUUCUGCUCUCCACAGAAAGGUGGAUUUCCCAUCCCAUAUGGUGAGGGCUCACCAGGCUGCUUACUCUUUUCUGAACCCUAACAUCUCCAAAUAUGAAACCCUUCUUGGCCUGUUGGACCAAGCUGCCCAGACACAACUGUCCCUGCAGCCCAUGAUGUCUGCCUUGGUGUUACGCUUUGAGGAGAUAAACCAGGCCCUGGAGGAGAUGGCUGAGGAAGGGGAGCUGAUGAUAAAAGAGCAUGGAGACUGCAUGGCUUUGCCCUCUGGGAUGAAGGGCCAAGCUGUAAGUUUAGCUGGCUCUGACUCAACAAUACCCCUUGAUCUACAUCCAGAUCUUUUACAACAGAUGCUCCACCAGUCGGCAGAAAAGAUGAGGCUGGUUGGCGGCUCCGUCCAGGCACUGGGUGAUACAACACUGGAGGAGGCUGUGGAGUAUUUUUCUUCCCUCUCCAAACUCCUUCUUCAAAAGCUGUUGGCCAAGCAAACGGCAGAGCGUAGGUUGGCUCAAGUACUUGCACGAGUGGAAGGGGCUGCCUUGAGAAAGUCCAACCCAGAAGAUUGUGCCCUGCAAAGCGAGGACAGUGGGAUUGGGGGAGAAAACGAGAGCUUGACUGGGUCAGAAAGACACCGCCGCCACCGUGGAAGCUGUGGAUCUGGAAGCUGUGGAUCUGGAAGCAACAUUCGGAGUGUCCUUGACAAUAUCUCAUGUAGUUUAUCCAACCAAGGGGGCAACAUUGAUGAUGAAGAUGAGGAUGAUGAGGAUGAGUUUGAAGAUGAUGAAAAUGAUAGGCCUGAGAGGAAAAGAUCCAACUCCUCCCCACCAGAUCCCUGUCAAGCUCUUCGCUAUGUGUAUGCCAACUCCAUGAGAGAUCUUCAGCCAGCAGGUACAAGUUCUCUGACUGCAGCCAAGUCUGAACAGUCUUCAUCCACCAGCUCUGAAAAUGCUACACCAGAGCUACAAACAAGCCUGGGAGACUCGGAUGAGAAAAUAAAAGAGACAUCUGGAACACAAGUGAGGAAAAUCUCAGCAGGGCCUUCCUGUAACUUGACUAGAUCCAGAUUUAGGCGACAUUCCAUAAAUGGACCAGGUGGAAAAAGCCCAGUGAAAAGCUCACACUGCUCCUUGGCAGUACUGGGAACCCAACCUCCAAGACGCCCAUGUGUCCGAAGACUAAUAAACACUUUUAGUCAAGGGGUUGAUGGGAGACCAGGACAGAGUUUGGCUAACAUUCCUCCUCACAUACGAAGGCCCAAUAAAAGUCGCUUUCUUCAAUUGUCUGAUGCACUCAACAGUAACGAGGGUGGGGUAAACACCAACAGCAGCAGCUGGCCUGACAGCAGGGAUGAUCUAGACGUGGACAAUCUUCCUCCUCCUCCUCCAGAGGUUCUUAUGGACAACUCCUUCCAGAGCACCACAGGCCGACCGAGAAAUGAGCAGGCACAAGAAAGUUCAGUCCGGAUUCUACCGGUGAUAAACCAGAAGUCUGGAACAUCCCAACGCCUGAAGAUACAUAUGCAGAAUGUGGAGGUGUUGCCAAACAAAGUAAAUGUCAGGUCAGAAUCAGAACCAGGAAAUUCAAAGAUUGUGUGUGAUUCCCCAGAGACUCCUGAAAAGAUGGCUGAACCAAACUGCAUGGAGCCUUCAACUCUUCAGGCUCGAUUGGACCUGAAACGUGAAAGCAACGAGUCCACAGAAUCUGAUCUGUCUUCUUCCAAUUUGCCUGUGAGAGCACCCCCAGUCUCCAGGGUCCGCCUACCCCCAUCAUGUCCUUCAGUGCCGCACAGGUUUCCAAGUCCACCUGUGUACAGAUCACAGUCCAGCUCCAGGGCUUCAUCUCGGCCUGCUUCCCCCCGAACAGUGAUCCGGGCAGUCGAUAAAACCACUGAGGAUAUCAUACCUUCAGUAUCUUUUCGAGAUGCUCGCUUGGUUUUCUGCCGAAAUGAGCAGCUGAACUCACAGCCAUGCGUCCCCUUUGGGAGUUCUGUUCUUCCCAGACAAUGGGGGGAGUCCUCUCGAGGCAGAAUACCAACCAGAGGGGCACCAGACACUCCAACCCGUCGCACUCAGUCCGAACAGCGGCCAAGAUGGUAAUUUGAUCUCAAGAGGAAUGAACCUCUUAUCACAAAAGGGGUGAGAAGAACCACCUGAAAAAGCCAGGCGGCCCUCCGACUGCAGAAGAAAGCAACCGGUUGGAUGGAAGUUCUGCUAUGAGGACAUCCACCGGGCUGGUAUUGGCUGUGGCUGAAAGAGAAGCGUGAGGGAAAGGAGUAAGAAAGAGGAUUAGAGGUUUAUCCACUUUCCCCUUUAAGAUAAAAGUCUUUCAUCCAAGGCCGUGUGUCUUAGUUUUGUUUUUUGUCGUGAUAAUACAGUAAAAUUGAUGAAAGUGAUUUCAUUUUAAUGCUACAAUCUGUUUAAACUUUGAUUACAGCUAACAAAUCAUCUAAUUUUCUUGUACAAUGAAUGUUAAACCCAAAGAUCUGGGAAUGUCUUCUGCUUAAAAUUGUUUGUGAUCAAUGUUUGUGAGUCUUUUUGCUUGCUUUGUUUUGAAUGUCUUUCUGUUUUUUAUGUCACUGUGGAAUUAAAUG